rnacentral:rRNA from 1 species
UACGUAGGGCGCGAGCGUUGUCCGGAAUUAUUGGGCGUAAAGAGCUCGUAGGCGGCCUGUCGCGUCGGUUGUGAAAGCCCGGGGCUCAACCCCGGGUCUGCAGUCGAUACGGGCAGGCUAGAGUUCGGUAGGGGAGAUCGGAAUUCCUGGUGUAGCGGUGAAAUGCGCAGAUAUCAGGAGGAACACCGGUGGCGAAGGCGGAUCUCUGGGCCGGUACUGACGCUGAGGAGCGAAAGCGUGGGGAGCGAACAGG